rnacentral:rRNA from 1 species
GACGAACGCUGGCGGCGUGCUUAACACAUGCAAGUCGAACGGAAAGGCCCUGCUUUUGUGGGGUGCUCGAGUGGCGAACGGGUGAGUAACACGUGAGUAACCUGCCCUUGACUUUGGGAUAACUUCAGGAAACUGGGGCUAAUACCGGAUAGGAGCUCCUGCUGCAUGGUGGGGGUUGGAAAGUUUCGGCGGUUGGGGAUGGACUCGCGGCUUAUCAGCUUGUUGGUGGGGUAGUGGCUUACCAAGGCUUUGACGGGUAGCCGGCCUGAGAGGGUGACCGGCCACAUUGGGACUGAGAGACGGGCCAGACUCCUACGGGAGGCAGCAGUGGGGAAUAUUGCACAAUGGGCGGAAGCCUGAUGCAGCAACGCCGCGUGCGGGAUGACGGCCUUCGGGUUGUAAACCGCUUUCGCCUGUGACGAAGCGUGAGUGACGGUAAUGGGUAAAGAAGCACCGGCUAACUACGUG